rnacentral:piRNA from 1 species
GAAGUUAAUGUGGAACUGAGGAAAGCG